GCGGCCGCCCGCUCUCCUUCCUGCUGCAGGUGUAUGCGCCGCUGCCUGGCCGCCCGGACGCCUUCCACCGCUGCAUCUUCCUCUUCUGCUGCCGCGAGCAGCCGUGCUGUGCCGGCCUGCGAGGGUUUGUGGCUGUUUAGGCCCCAAAACGUGCUCCAGAUGCCACAAAGCAUAUUACUGCAGCAAGGAGCAUCAGACCCUAGACUGGAGAUUGGGACAUAAGCAGGCUUGUGCACAACCAGAUCAUCUGGACCAUAUAAUUCCAGACCACAACUUCCUUUUUCCAGAAUUUGAAAUUGUAAUAGAAACAGAAGAUGAGAUUAUGCCUGAGGUUGUGGAAAAGGAAGAUUACUCAGAGAUUAUAGGGAGCAUGGGUAAGCAGUUUCAGGACUUCAUUCAUUAAGUGGUUAAACAUAAUACUUGGAAGAAAGGGCUCCAUGUGCCUAGAAGAGAGGUACUGAGAGGAAGACUCACUUUGGAGGCUGUAGCAUACAAUUUUCAGAUAUUGCCUCAGGUAAAAAUAUACUUCCUGGACUUUGUUUUCUGACACAUAAGAGGUGUGUUCUGCUCCCUGUAAAGACA
rnacentral:lncRNA from 1 species